ACUUAGAACACAGGAUGUCAGCGCCAUCUUGUGACGGCGAAUGUGGGGGCGGCUCCCAACAGUCACCCAUCCAUUAGUGGCUCAUGUGUUCUUAAGACAAACUCAGCAGGCUGUACCUGUCCAGAGUGAAACCAGAGCUUCUGCCUGCAUGGAACAAGAGCAAGAGAAAGGCCGAGGAGACUGACCUGCUUAUCCAUGCUACUUAUCAGGAACUGUGGAACCAUGGAGAACAUGACCCUGGCCCUCCCUUCAGGAUCUGCCUGAGAUCUGGCUGCCUCUUGAGACACUAGAGCCCUGGAUUCAAUUGCGGAACAUUAUGUUGGAGAAUAUAAACACUUCUAGACUGUGCCGGCAUUUGGGAAGGAAUAGUCUGUUUUGACUUGAAUGAACAAAGACAUACGUCUCUGGGCCUGGGGAAGGCUUACCAGCUCAGCUCAUCUACUGUCUGGUGGCAAACAUGUCCUGGGUACUGCCACUACCCAGGACACUCUUCCUCACUCUGUCCCUGUCCAGUUACCGCACCCUUCCCUGUCUGACCCCGCCUCCUGUGCCCACUCGCCUCUGGACCCAGAGAUUCUUCUUGUUUGCUCUAUCAUCCUUGAGCCGGAUACAGGGUGAAUAGUUAACCACACUUGGGUUGAAUGGGAUCUUGAUUCUUAUUUCUGUUCCUUGGAAAGAGGGGUCAGACUCGGUGCGUGGCACCCGGCCUGGAAGCAGCACAAGACUCCAGAGUGAUACAUGAUCUGCCUGGAUGGUCCCAGGGGCUCUUUGGAGGUCAGAGCAAGAGGAGCAGCCUGAGCAGGGGGGCUGAGGAGGGCCGGCACUGGAUCACACGCAGGCGUAUGUCUGGAUAGGCAGAGAGGAACCCACUUUUCAUUCCCUCUUCUGUGACACAAAUGCAAGGAACUUUGAAGACACUCUUCGGAGGUUGCAAUCGGAGAUCAGCUUAUCCAAGGGCUUCAUGUCUGAGCUCUGUUGGUCGUGCCUCCUGAGGACCUCUUUCCUCUACUGUAUGCUGAUGACACACCCAUCCGAUGGGAGCUGGAGCCUUGUCUGGUCCUUUCCUCUAUGACCCCACGUGUACAGUUGGAAAUCCUUCCUAAUCAUGCCUUGAUUCCCCCUUUUCGACUACACUCAAAGAUGUUUGAGCUGUUUUAUUUGCAAAAUGGAUGGACAGUUUGUUUAUAUAAAACAAUCCCAGCUUCCUUGUGCUCUAUCUGGUGUGUUUGUAUGGCUCUUCAGUGACUUUAAAGUGGAGCAUUGACCUUGGCCUCUUUGAUUCUCCAUGGUGGAAUAGAGAAGACCUCUUGAGGAUGCUUAAUGUUGCUGAGAUCUUAAGAAGGCUUGCAGACUUCCUCUUCCUCCCUCCUUCUCCCACCUCCUCCUUCCCUAAGCAGCCUCUGCAUUGUAUAAAUUCCUUUAUAUAAAUUCCUCUG
rnacentral:lncRNA from 1 species